UUGGAGACGCUUCGAAAGACAAGGCAAUGUGUGGGUUCGUGGCAUCUGUUCGGCUGCCAGAUCUGUUUCAGGUGAUUGAUCGAAGCAUAUGUGGAAAUACGCGGUGCCUAUCUGGAAGACCUCCUCCCAUUUCAUUUCGGGACGGAGAUUGAGUCUUAGAAUGUAGUGGUAAUCUGAAAUCAUUAGUCGCUCUUGUACUAGUCUAGACCAGGUCAUAGGAAGUGGAUCGAGUCUGUAUGUGUUACAUCAUUGUAAUUUUAUUGAUUCUUGAGUUUAUUGAAUAUAUUAUGAAGUUUCCGCUGAAUUUCUAAGUAUCUAUUGAUUUAAAUAUAUCGCCUUUACUUAAUUAAUAUGAAUUCAAUGAGAGGGUUCGCCUACCGAGGUGGGAAAGGUAGGUGCCCGCGCGACCCUAAAAUGAGUCGUGAUAAUCACGAACCUGCUGUUAUCUGUUACCUAAGAUACCAUAAAAAAAAAUAA